AGCGAACGCUGGCGGCAGACCUAACACAUGCAAGUCGAACGAAGUCUUCGGACUUAGUGGCGGACGGGUGAGUAACACGUGGGAACGUGCCUUUAGGUUCGGAAUAACUCAGGGAAACUUGUGCUAAUACCGAAUGUGCCCUUCGGGGGAAAGAUUUAUCGCCUUUAGAGCGGCCCGCGUCUGAUUAGCUAGUUGGUGAGGUAAAGGCUCACCAAGGCGACGAUCAGGAGCUGGUCUGAGAGGAUGAUCAGCCACAUUGGGACUGAGACACGGCCCAAACUCCUACGGGAGGCAGCAGUGGGGAAUCUUGCGCAGUGGGCGAAAGCCUGACGCAGCCAUGCCGCGUGAAUGAUGAAGGUCUUAGGAUUGUAAAAUCCUUUCACCGGGGACGAUAAUGACGGUACCCGGAGAAGAAGCCCCGGCUAACUUCGUGCCAGCCGCCGCGGUAA
rnacentral:rRNA from 1 species